rnacentral:rRNA from 1 species
AGCGAACGCUGGCGGCAGGCCUAACACAUGCAAGUCGAACGAACUCUUCGGAGUUAGUGGCGGACGGGUGAGUAACACGCGGGAACGUGCCUUUUGGUUCGGAAUAACUCAGGGAAACUUGUGCUAAUACCGAAUGUGCCCUUCGGGGGAAAGAUUUAUCGCCAUUAGAGCGGCCCGCGUCUGAUUAGCUAGUUGGUGAGGUAACGGCUCACCAAGGCGACGAUCAGUAGUUGGUCUGAGAGGAUGACCAGCCACACUGGGACUGAGACACGGCCCAGACUCCUACGGGAGGCAGCAGUGGGGAAUCUUGCGCAAUGGGCGAAAGCCUGACGCAGCCAUGCCGCGUGAAUGAUGAAGGUCUUAGGAUUGUAAAAUUCUUUCACCGGGGACGAUAAUGACGGUACCCGGAGAAGAAGCCCCGGCUAACUUCGUG